CGACUACAACUCCCGUCGUGCCCCGCGCGCCGCCCGCCCGGACUGCGGUACCGGGGGCUGUGGUGGGCACCGGGCAGCCGCCGCCAGCUCCCCCCCGGCCCUCCCCGGCACCGGCCGCCGCGGGGAGCGGCGCCAUGGGCGGGGAGGAGGAGAUCGUGCGCAUCGCCAGGCGGCUGGACAAAAUGGUGGCCAAGAAGAGCGCGGAUGGUGCAAUGGAUUUACUGAAAGAACUGAAAAGUAUGCCUAUGACUUUGGACUUAUUGCAGUCCACCCGCAUCGGGAUGUCAGUAAAUGCACUGAGAAAGCAGAGCACAGACGAAGAAGUGAUAGCGCUUGCCAAAUCCCUCAUCAAAUCUUGGAAAAAACUUCUAGAUGCUUCUGAGGAAAAAAGUGAAGAGAAAAAGAAAAGCCUGUCCUUGCCAACAUCUUCCUCGAAGGAGACUGGUAACUCAAGAGACCAAAGCUCCAACAAAAGGCAGGAGCCUCCGAAGACUCCGACCACUCCCAAAAUCACCACCUUCCCUCCGGCGCCCGUCACCUGCGAUGCAGUCCGCAACAAAUGCAGAGAAAUGCUGACAACAGCUCUACAGGCUGAUGACGACUAUAUUUCCAUUGGCGCCGACUGUGAGCACAUAGCAGCCCAGAUUGAAGAAUGCAUAUACCAAGAUGUCAAGAACACCGACAUGAAAUACAAAAACCGAGUGAGGAGCCGCAUCUCGAAUCUGAAGGACUCCAAAAAUCCUGAGCUGAAAAAGAAUGUGCUGUGUGGGGUGAUUACCCCCGAGCAGAUCGCAGUGAUGACCUCGGAGGAAAUGGCCAGUAACGAGCUGAAGGAGAUCAGAAAAGCCAUGACGAAAGAAGCAAUCCGGGAGCAUCAGAUGGCCAAGACAGGAGGGACGCAGACCGACCUCUUCACCUGUGGGAAGUGCAAGAAGAAGAACUGUACCUACACCCAGGUGCAGACGCGCAGCUCCGAUGAGCCCAUGACCACCUUCGUCGUGUGCAACGAGUGUGGGAAUCGCUGGAAGUUCUGCUGAUAUGUGCCGUGUCCCGAGAGCGGCAGCCAAACGCAGAUCAGACCGCAACCUCCAUACGCCAGCACCCGCGGCCAUUGUGUAUUGUGUCCCAACGCUUUGCUUUUGCGGCAUGGGAGCUUGACGGACGGAGAGUGUCCAGAUGGAAGAGGACUGAACAGUGCCUGGACCACCAGAAAGCGAGAAGCCGCUUGUAGGUACCCCCUCGGUGCAUGAUGGCUUGUUCUUAGUCAACUCAUGAAAUCUAAAACACUGGGCUGGCUGGGUGGGCAGUACUGGUCUUCCUCACCUGCCUGAGGAGACCUGUUGAUGGAACAUGGCUUUUGGGGCCCAGAUCAGAUGCUGCUUUCCAUCUUGACGGCACUGAUUUGUUUUCGCAGGGGCGUGCGCCUUGUUGUCUCAGGCCUUUAAAUGCCAACAGCACCGGCUGCUGCGAGAUGAGAAUGUGCCACCCAGGUUGUAACAGGCUGAACGCAGGGUGACACCAGCCACAAAAACCCGACCCAAAUGGUUGGUUUGGGGGAGCAGGGCAGGGAGGAAGGUGUCCUCGGCCCAGGCAAGGCUGAUCUUGAUACAGGGAGAAGCCAUCAAUAAAAGAGGUGGAGGGAAUCCAGUGGGAGCGUUAAAAGGGGGUCCCAGGUGCUUUCCUGCUUGUGUGUGCUCUGCUCUUAGCUUGGUGGCUGAAGGGCAGCUGGAAUUUUCAGAGGGACAUGCCAGAGAGGCUCAGGAGGAGGGGAAAUGCUGCAAAUACAGGAAACUUUCCAGAAGCUUGGACCUGGAAGAGGUAGGGAUUACAGAUAUCAGUGGCAGCUGUUAGCGUGUAGCUCCAGAAACGGAUGAGGUUUGAAGUGAGCUCAGAGCUAGUGCUUGGAAGGGGUGAGAUAAAGGAGCUAGUAGCAAAGAAAGCCUCAGUCGCCACCUCUGCAAACGUGACCCUGUGAGGGGGACCUGCAGGAUCAGGCUCUUUCUGGGAGGCAGCUAGAACCUGGUGGAGAAAUUCUGCCUGUCCUCGCAACAGCUUUCAGCCUGAGACUUAAAAUCCCUCUUCUUUUCUUUUCCUAGCCUUUAACUGGGGUGGUGCGGCAUUCGGGGGACCCCAGUAAGCCUCUGAGUUUGAGGCCGCUCGAGAGAAGUCCUCUGCACUGCAGCUCUUGCGCUGACAAGCAGCGCAGGAGCAUUUGCAGUCACAUCUAUGGCAUCGCUCCCCUGUUCCAGAGUGAAAAACAAGUAUUUCCACUGGCUUUUCAGCAUGCCAGACAGCAGACAUUCAGCAGAGACCUUGGAGAUGUUUAGAGAGGAGUAAGCAGCCACAUGAAAGCAGCAGGGAACGUGCUCGCAGCCCCUCUGAGGGCUGUGCUCCUCCGGAGGCAGGGAUCCCAACAGCAUCCUUCGCUCAGGGCUUUCACUUUACGCGGUGCAGCCAAGUCUCCCAAGAAGGAAAAGAUUCAAAGAUGCUGACAACUCGUUUAAGCCUCACGAGUUUUGCGGCGAAGGGGAUUAUUCAAGCCAGGCUUGGGAGGGAAGAGUGAGUGUCCUCGCAGUCAUGCUUAAAAGAAAAAAAAAAAAAAAACAAAACCCUUCAGGAUCUGGACCCUGAGCUGGCCGAGGCCCACCGCCUCGUGCGCUGUGAACAGGAGCCAGCUCAGUGCCAGCUGCUGUUGCCUUUCUCCUUCUGUAAGGAGGGUAACUGGGCUUGGGUACCGUUUGCUGACAAUCCUGAAUUUAGGAGAGUCCCGAGCAGGAGCAGCCCCUCAAACCAUUGUCUGUGCCACUUCCCGGGGUAACGGCAAGGAAGAGCGAGUGAGGGGAAAGCUGCUGGAUAAAGAGGUGUCUUGGAGGCGCAGAUUCACUUACAAGUGUGUAAAAAAAUGCUAGGAUUAGGACUAAGAGUGCAUUAUUAGAUGGCAGCGGGCUUCCCUGGGCUGAGGUGAUGUGCAGAGAGGCUCUGACCCGCCUGUCUCGCUCCUCAACGGCUCCAGGGAUGCUCAGCCCCAGCCCUUGGGACAUUUCCUUUCCUCCCAGAGCAAAGCGAGCACCCACACCCAAACCCUCCCCGGUGCAGGGGGGGGAUGCUGCGGUGGUGCAGGCUCCGCACUCGCGCAGGGGUUGGCAGGGGGGGAAACCUGCCAACAACCACCAAAUAAUAACAAUACCAGCAUUCCUCAACAAAUGACUAUCUCUGGUCUCUCUCAAAACUACAUUUUCUUGAACUGUUAUUUCCAGCGUGGCAAACAAAACUAAAUUUACUGACAUGGAUUUCCACACAGUCAUGCCACGAGGAAGGAAACAAACAAAAAAAAGAAGCUGAGAGAAAUUUUUGGGUUUUUUUUUUUUCUUUUUGUUUAAAAAAUAUCUUCAAUAAAAAGAACUAGUGCUCGCUCUUUUUCCUUUGAAAGGGAGGAAGAGAAGGGGAAGGGGGAGAUAAAUAGGAAACCAGGGGCUGCUCUGGGUGAGGAAAAGCAAAGAUGAGCGUUGGUUUUCUGCAGCAGGACCCCGGUGAUGGCUUUGUUUGACUGUGGAGGACAGGAGCUGCUGGCGGAGAUCACAGAAUCGUGGAAUUGUCUAGGUUGGAAGGGACCUUUGAGAUCAUCGAGUCCAACCGUCCACCUAACACUGACAAAAGCCAUCACUAAACCAUGUCGCUAAGCACUUAAAUCUGGGUGCUGGGGCUCCAGUAAACCAUUCCUUGUGCCAUACAAAACCACACCGAUGUUAUAGAUCUUCCCUGCGAUGUUUCCCAGCCCGCGUGGAGCCCUGCCUGCUCGGUGCCAAGCUGCUCCGGAGGGACCAGGGCAGACCCCUGGGUUUGUCCCCACUGGUGGGACUGGCAUGGGCCAGCUGGGAGACUUUGCUUUUGGGGUCCUGGUGCCUGUGGGGUCUCUGCAGGAGGACAAAUAAUACCUGCACGGCUCAGACGUGUGUUUUCCCCUUCCUUCAGGUCCGUGAAGUGAGGAUACAGGAUGCUCUGGGUUUGAGGUGACAACCCCAUGGUGUCCCAGGGCUGGAGCGGUGCGAUGGGGACUGGUGGAAGAGGCAGCAGUCGGGUACCCCCUGCCCACCCUCCGAGCACAUCCUCGUGGCCCCACCGUCCCUUCUGGCCCCCCCACAGCCCCUCAGGCAGCUUUGGAGAUGGGGGGGGGCUGAGUCUCUGCUGGGGGCGGGGGGGUUGCCAGCCUUCUGCUCCAUCCAGCCCCAGCACUGUCCCCCUGAUCCGCUGGGAAUACAAAGGGGGCUGCACCACUGCCCCCCCCAUGGGCCACUUCAAACAGACGGAGUGAUGUAAACCUGACGAGUUUUUAUAUGUACAGAGACACUUGUCAAACCCCCCCUCCCGCCC